UCUUGUUUUAUCUCUCUCUCCUCUUUCCUCUCUCCUCAAACAAACCCUAAUCAACAAAGAUGCAGCAGCAAACCAAGCUUCAAUGGGGCGAAGUAGACGAAGAUAAGAGAAGAGAGAAAGAGGGAGACGAUUAAAGCUCAUCUUCCCCCUCUUCUGGUAUGCUGCCAUAGCCGUCCUCCUGAAAUUGCUUAGAAAUGCUUCUUGGGAGCUCGGUAUUCAGAUCCGAAGAUGAAUGAGACCGAUGUCCAAAAGCAAAUCCAGCAGAUGGUUAGAUUCAUCCGCCAAGAAGCGGAGGAAAAGGCUAACGAGAUCUCUAUUGCUGCCGAAGAAGUAAGCGAAAUGCUUGAUUUUUGUUUUUUUAAACGAAAACCAAAAUUAAAAAGUUGUAAUAAAAUUAAUUGUAUUUAAUUAGAUUGGGAAGUAUAUACCUGGGAAAAAAAAAAGGGAAAGCUUGCUGGUAUAAUGGUGGUUCACUAUUUUUGACAAUUAUUUAAUCAAAAAGUUCAUGUAUUGAAAGUGGUGUUCCAUGAUGUGUUGAAUUAUUCUAUUUUUAUUGAUUUUUAUAAUGUUAAUUCACUUUAUUUUUUAGGAACUUCAAAUUAAUAUGUAUGUAUCACAAUUUUGCAAAUUCUUGAAUCAGAAGGUCUGACAUAGAUUUGGGUUUUUUUCAAUCAAAUUUGAAGAUUGGCUUUAACUAAUUAGUGAUUGUAUUUUUGGCUUUGAAUUUGAAAUUGAAAUUUUCAAGGUUAAAGAUGGUUUUACUAGUGAUGUAGUAUACAAUAAAAGAGCCAUAGCACUUUAUUCUAGUGGUUGUGGAUCUCUUGCUCUUUAAAUAUGGGUUGCUUUCAUUCUACUGCAAGUAGGCUGCAAUGUCCUGGAAACGAAGACCCGGUUUUCCUUGCUUCUCAAACUGCUUUUAUUAUUAGUGAAGUCGAAGCGUUGUUCGAGCUGUUUAAGAGCAUAAGCAGUUCUGUGAUUGAUGAUGGGCUUAUAAGUAAGGAGGAAUUUCAGUUAGAUUUGUUCAAAAACAAGAAGAAAGAGAAUCUUUUUGCUACUCGGAUCUUUGAUUUGUUCGAUGUUAAAAGGAAAGGAGUAGCUGACUUCGGUGACUUCGUCAGAGUGUUGAACGUCUUCCAUCCUAAUGCCUCCCAAGAGGAUAAGAUAGACUUCACAUUUAAGCUUUAUGACGUGGAUGGCACAGGAUAUAUUGACCGCGACGAGGUGAGGCAAAUGUUGGUCGCAAUUCUAUGUGAAUCUGAACUGAAGUUGGCAGAUGAAAUAAUCGAACAAAUACUUGAUAAGGCUACUUUAACAAUCAUGAGGCGACUGUUUCAACUCUCACUUCAAAUGGUUGGCUAAAAACGGGGGAUGUGUGCUAUUUUGAUGAAGAUGGCUUAUGGUUUUCAAUUGAUCCUUUGUCUGAAAUAUGCUAGUUAAAUGAAAUGCAAGAAAGGUACUUUCCAAAAGAGCAAGCAAGCAAGCAGGAACUGAGAAGGGAAGGAUAGAAAAGGUGGUCAAGGAGUACCUCAAGGCUUUCGAGGCAAAGAUUGCAAAAAUUUUCGGAGUGCCAAAGCCCAUGGAGGAUGAAACUGCAGAUGGCUCCAUCAAGUCACCCUUCUCAAAAGAGAUCGCCAUGGUAGAAGUGCCAAAAAAGUUCAGUAUACCCAGCAUGGCCAUGUACGACGGUACAACAGAUCCUGAUGAGCACGUGUCCCUCUACAAUUAGAAAAUGAUGACCAACUCUAUCCCAGAGACAUCAGGGAGGCAAUCAUGUGCAAAGGCUUUGGAUCCACCUUGUCAGGUCCAGCCCUAACUUGGUUCAUUAAUUUAGAUAAUGGGACUAUUUGAUCUUCUAAUGGAAUGGUCAACCUAUUCAAAAUCCAGUUUGCUACCGGUAGAAAGAUUGAGAAGCAAUCUUCGGAUCUGUACAUAGUCGUGCAAAGUCAUGGAGAAUCUUUGAGAGAUUACCUUAACAGGUUUAAUAGGGAGAAGAUUGGAAUACACAAAUGUGAUGCUCCGACAACUAUUGAAGCUUUUAGAAGAGGACUAUUGGACCAUAGCGAGCACUAUAAGGAAAUAACCAAAGAUCCCUACACAACUUUCGAAGAUGUUCAAGCUAAAGCAAUGGCCCAAGUCAGGUUCGAAGAAGAUGUCUAUGCAAGAAAGACAAGAAAGACUCCCGAGCCAGAUCGUUCGUCAACAAGGAGCAACAACUUCCCAAGAAGGGAUCAUAAAUUCAAGCCUUAUCCGCGAUCUCGCUUUGAGGAGGAAACAGUCAAUGUUGUCGAGGGAGAAUUAAAAGAUUGGAGGGAAGAUCCUCAACUCCCUCCUAAAUUACAUGAAUAUUGUUUUAAUGUUAACCCUGCAGGUGUGAUUAGGACCCUGAACAAAAUGGGAGAUACCGUGCAAUGGCCUAGGAAGAGCGACAAGCCAGGAUAAAAGAAAGAUCCAUUGAGGUGAUGUGACUUCCAUUCAGACAUUGGUCACACUACUGAUGAAUGUGUGGCGCUCAGAAUGGAGGUUGCCUACUUGCUGAAGAAGGGGUAUCUCAAGGAAUUCAUGACGGACAGGUCCGAAGCUCCGGGUAGAGAAAGAGAGUCCAAUCAAGGUGGACCCCCGCCUCCUCCUCAAAUCGUCAAAACAAUCAAUUUCAUCUCCGGAGGAUCAGAAGUGUGAGGUUUGACGCACUCAGCAGCAAAGCGUAACACCAAAGAAAGUAACAUGAACAAGCCAGCCAAGAAGGUGCAAGCAAAGAUAGACGCUCCAAUCAUAUUUGAAGAAAGUGAUGCAAUGGAAGAGCACCAUGAUGGCCUAGUAAUAUCACUCUUAGUCGGAAACUGCUUAAUCAAGAGGAUCCUAGUUGACAAUGGAAGCUAAGCCAACAUCAUUAUACUCGAUACAGUGAAACAUAUGAACAUUAACGAGAAAGACAUCAUCAACAAGUCAACGAUGCUGGUAGGAUUUAGUGGAGAAACUAAGAAGACCAUUAGAGAGAUUACAUCAUCAACAAGUCAAAGAGCACCAUGAUGGCUUAGUAAUAUCACCAUGAUUAUGUUCUCUCUAUUAAAUCUUGUUAUUGGUUUUGCUAUUAUGUGUGAGUAGAUUCAUAAUCCGGCAUCUUGCAAAGCCCGGAUAUGAUUAAUGCUUAGAUUUAAUCUUUAAUUUCUCCAAUAAUAUUUCCAAGUGACAUUCUUGAUUGAUUGUGUUUAUGCCAAUACUAGAUUAGGAAGAAUUAGUAUUGUUAUCAUCCCUUUGUUCUUAUUGCAACGGAAGUUGAACAUUAACGGGAUUUGGGUAUUUCAA